AUUGUCGACACAAGAAAAUGGCCUCGACCACUGGCUUUGACUCAAAACAAUCUUGAAAUAUGAUAAACAAAUUUUAAUAGCUAUACAAGGGUUAACUGGAAAGAUGUUCUCAUGUACGAAGUCACUUAGACGGUUGAUUUCCCGACCACUUCGGGUUUUAUUGCUUCGUCAGCGUCAUUCAGCGCCUUUGAAUCCAGAAUGGAUUACUUUGGCUACUAAGCAACUUAAAGGUGCUGACCCAGAGAAGCUGUUGACAUGGAAAACUCCAGAGGGAAUCAAUAUCAAACCGCUGUACACCAAAGAAGAUACUGUUGGACAAAAAGAUGAAAUCCCUGGUCAAUACCCUUACACACGAGGACCAUAUCCAACCAUGUAUGCCCAACGACCGUGGACCAUCAGACAGUAUUCUGGCUUUAGCACAGUGGAAGAGAGCAACAAAUUUUACCGAGACAACCUAAAAGCCGGGCAGCAAGGGCUAAGCGUUGCUUUUGACCUUCCAACACACAGAGGGUAUGAUUCAGACAAUCCCCGCGUAUUUGGUGAUGUUGGUAUGGCGGGCGUUGCCAUUGAUUCUGUUGAAGACACAAAGGUCCUGUUUGAUGGUAUUCCUUUGGAGAAAAUAUCUGUUUCUAUGACAAUGAACGGCGCUGUACUACCAGUAUUAGCUAUGUAUAUCGUGGCUGCUGAGGAACAGGGAGUGGAGCAAAGUCAGUUGACGGGUACGAUCCAGAAUGACAUUUUGAAGGAGUUUAUGGUCAGAAAUACUUACAUCUUUCCACCUGAGUCUUCGAUGAAAAUAAUUGGAGAUAUAUUUAAGUACACGUCGAAGAAUAUGCCUAAGUUCAACAGUAUUUCCAUUUCUGGUUAUCAUAUGCAAGAAGCCGGGGCGGAUGCUGUUCUAGAGAUGGCCUUUACUGUUGCUGAUGGAUUGGAAUAUUGUCGGACAGGGAUUAAAGCUGGUCUUGACAUUGAUAAAUUUGCUCCACGUCUAUCGUUUUUCUGGGGGAUUGGUAUGAACUUUUACAUGGAGAUCGCUAAACUAAGAGCAGCAAGAAAACUCUGGGCACACCUUAUCAAAAAACACUUUGAUGCUAGGAAUCCCAAGUCUUAUUUAUUGCGAUGUCAUUGUCAAACGUCAGGAUGGUCUCUCACGGAACAAGUUCCAUACAAUAAUGUUGUGCGCACAACAGUGGAAGCAAUGGCAGCUGUCUUUGGUGGUACACAAUCUCUUCAUACCAACUCAUUUGACGAAGCUCUGGCGCUACCUACACCAUUCAGUGCUGGAAUUGCACGGAACACCCAACUUAUUUUGCAAGAGGAAACUGGCAUUCCAAAUGUUAUUGAUCCAUGGGCUGGUUCGUAUCUUAUGGAAUGCUUGACUAAUGACCUCUAUGACGCUGCCGAAAAAAUCAUAGAGGAGGUUGAGGAUCUUGGAGGAAUGGCAAAGGCUGUUGCAGAAGGAAUGCCGAAGUUGAGGAUUGAAGAAUGCGCUGCUCGGCGACAAGCUCGGAUUGACUCGGGAAGCGAAACGAUUGUUGGAGUCAAUAAGUAUAAACCAGAGGCAGAGGAAAAGAUUGACGUUCUGGUAAUUGACAAUACGAAAGUUCGUGAAAGCCAGAUUGCAAAGAUUGCAGACGUAAAAGCAAACCGUGAUAAAAAUGCUGCAGAAGAAGCAAUGGCGGCGAUCACUGAGUGUUGUCAAACUGAGAAAGGAAACCUCCUAGAUCUUGCUGUCAAGGCUGCAAGAGUUAGAUGCACUGUGGGAGAAAUAACGUUUGCGAUGGAAAAGGUAUUUGGAAGACAUGUUGCCAGUGAUCGCAUGGUCAGUGGUGCCUACAAGUCCGAGUAUGGGAAUUCUGAUGAAAUCACUCAGUGUUUGAAUGAGGUCGCGAAAUUUGUUGAUGCGGAAGGACGACGCCCUCGGAUUCUUGUUGCUAAAAUGGGGCAAGAUGGGCAUGAUAGAGGAGCUAAAGUUAUUGCAACAGGAUUUGCGGAUUUGGGAUUUGAUGUCGACAUUGGGCCUCUUUUUCAGACUCCAGAUGAAGUUGCCCAACAGGCUUGUGAUGCAGACGUACACGUAGUUGGAAUAAGUACACAGGCUGCUGGACAUAAAACCCUUGUACCGCAAUUAGUGGAAGCUUUGAAAGCGAAGGACAAAAGCAAUAUUCUCGUGGUUUGUGGUGGAGUCAUUCCCCCGCAGGAUUACGAAUUUCUCUUUGAAAAAGGCAUUGCCGCUGUUUUUGGUCCGGGUACAAGAAUCCCGCAAGCAGCAAUGCAAGUUUUAAAAGCAAUCUCUCCCGAUGAACAAAGUAGACAAACGAUGGCAUAGAACAUUCUGGCCCGAAUUCCAGAAUAAAAAAACGUUAACAUUGAACUUCAUGUGUUGUAUAGAGUGCUAAUUAUAUGAUACGCGUGUUUUUUUCUCACGAAACUAGUGAUAUGGUUACUAGGAAGGCCUGUGCCGGUUUCUUAAUUAAGGUGGUCUUAUACAUUGAGAUAUUUUUAAGAAGGUGCAUAAUAAAGACGGUAAGGUAUAAGAUCCCCUUUAAACAUCAAAAUUUGUUAUUUUUUGUACUACUGAUCAAAUAUACCUCUCAACUAUAACUUGUCCAACCACUGAAUUUGUUUUAUACCACAUGACAAUGGAAUUUUUCAGCGAUACUAUGACCCGGACAGCUUGUACCCUCGAUGGUUUCCCCGCGGCUUUGGCGAUUUUGCGUGGAGUUCUCACGAGUCCGCGUUGCUAUAUAUGGCUUCCUCGCAGAAAGUCUUGAAAGGAAACAUGUUUUUGACGGGUUUUUACGAAUUUGUUUUUACACGUCCUAGGCCAACAAGGAGAAAUUUCGUUUUUGAACAAAUUCGCAUAUUUGUUUACAUUUUUAAAUCCUAAAUUUUGAGUGGCGAAU
rnacentral:misc_RNA from 1 species